ACCUAUGAAAUCCAGCUAAAGAUCCAUCGCUUUUAUUUAGCCUCUUAAUUAUCAUCAUGAAGAUGAUAAGUAAGUUUCUACAAUAACUGAGCUUUAUAAAACAGUUAGUUUAAUUCAGUUUUAUGCAUCUUGCCCUGCUAUCUGCUGCUCAUAGUGGUUUGUGGCUAGCACUGGUUCAAACUCUGUGUCCUUCCAAAAACAUGCACUUCCUCACUUACCACCAGCUCUUCCCAAAGUCAGCUGGGAUGCUCCACCCUGCUACAACCCUGACAACAACAAGAAGCUGUGAAGGAAGAGAGAGAGACAACGACGAUGCAGUAUGAUGAAGUGCAUGCUUACAUUUGGUGUGCUGUUUCAUCUCUGCCACAGUGUUGCGAUAAACAUAACACUGAGCAGGGAGAUUAUACGUGGACUUGGGACUCUGAACAACCUCUACAGAUUCAACAAGCUUAAUUUCACAUCUACAGCCAAGAUUCGUGUGCCAACCAUAAAAAUGGAUCAAAAUGCAUCUUCUUGUGUGGGUGUCUUUGUCAGGGAGCUGAAGCACCUUCUUGACAGUGUGACGGUGCCUGAAAACAGAAGCAACGUUCUCCAUGGACUUAUGGCGAAC